UACGUAGGCAGCGAGCGUGGUUCGGAGUUACUGGGCGUAAAGAGGGCGUAGGCGGUUUUCUAAGUUUGGUGUGAAAUCUCCCGGCUUAACUGGGAGGGUGCGCCGAAGACUGGAAGGCUUGAGUAUGGGAGAGGUAAGCGGAAUUCCUGGUGUAGCGGUGAAAUGCGUAGAUAUCGGGAGGAACACCUGUGGCGAAGGCGGCCAUCUGGACAACUACUGACACUGAGACGCGAAAGCGUGGGUAGCAAACAGG
rnacentral:rRNA from 1 species